rnacentral:misc_RNA from 1 species
UCACUAAUCAAGCCCGGCUUGCUGUUGGACCCAUUUUGUCGUGAAAAACGACAGGUCCAAAAGAUAAUGACGGUGUUAUUUGGACCCUAGAUGCAACGAGCUUUUAUUAGCACGCGUUUAGUAGGACCUUUUAACCCGGUCUCUUUAACCAUUUUUCUAAGGUUGACCUCGGAUCAGGUAGGAAUACCCGCUGAACUUAA